AUUGAACGCUGGCGGUAUGCUUAACACAUGCAAGUCGAACGGAAACAGGACGCUGUGAUCUCUUCGGAGUGAACUUGUCGCUGUCGAGUGGCGGACGGGUGAGUAAUGCUUGGGAAUCUGCCCAUUAGUGGGGGACAACACGGGGAAACUCGUGCUAAUACCGCAUACGCCCUACGGGGGAAAGCGGGGGAUCUUCGGACCUCGCGCUAAUGGAUGAGCCCAAGUCGGAUUAGCUUGUUGGUGGGGUAAAGGCCUACCAAGGCAUCGAUCCGUAGCUGGUCUGAGAGGACGAUCAGCCACACUGGGACUGAGACACGGCCCAG
rnacentral:rRNA from 1 species